GACGAACGCUGGCGGCGUGCUUAACACAUGCAAGUCGAACGGAAAGGCCCUGCUUUUGUGGGGUGCUCGAGUGGCGAACGGGUGAGUAACACGUGAGUAACCUGCCCUUGACUUUGGGAUAACUUCAGGAAACUGGGGCUAAUACCGGAUAGGAGCUCCUGCUGCAUGGUGUGGGUUGGAAAGUUUCGGCGGUUGGGGAUGGACUCGCGGCUUAUCAGCUUGUUGGUGGGGUAGUGGCUUACCAAGGCUUUGACGGGUAGCCGGCCUGAGAGGGUGACCGGCCACAUUGGGACUGAGAUACGGACCAGACUCCUACGGGAGGCAGCAGUGGGGAAUAUUGCACAAUGGGCGGAAGCCUGAUGCAGCAACGCCGCGUGCGGGAUGACGGCCUUCGGGUUGUAAACCGCUUUCGCCUGUGACGAAGCGUGAGUGACGGUAAUGGGUAAAGAAGCACCGGCUAACUACGUG
rnacentral:rRNA from 1 species